AGCGAACGCUGGCGGCAGGCCUAACACAUGCAAGUCGAACGGACCCUUCGGGGUUAGUGGCGGACGGGUGAGUAACACGUGGGAACGUGCCCUUUGGUACGGAACAACUCAGGGAAACUUGAGCUAAUACCGUAUAAGCCCUACUGGGGAAAGAUUUAUCGCCAUUGGAGCGGCCCGCGUCUGAUUAGCUAGUUGGUGAGGUAAAGGCUCACCAAGGCUACGAUCAGUAGCUGGUCUGAGAGGAUGAUCAGCCACAUUGGGACUGAGACACGGCCCAAACUCCUACGGGAGGCAGCAGUGGGGAAUCUUGCGCAAUGGGCGAAAGCCUGACGCAGCCAUGCCGCGUGAAUGAUUGAAGGUCUUAGGAUUGUAAAAUUCUUUCACCGGGGACGAUAAUGACGGUACCCGGAGAAGAAGCUCCGGCUAACUUCGUGCCAGCAG
rnacentral:rRNA from 1 species